rnacentral:rRNA from 1 species
UGGGGAAUCUUACACAAUGGGGGCAACCCUGAUGCAGCGACGCCGCGUGAGCGAUGAAGCCCUUCGGGGCGUAAAGCUCUUUCGACCGGAACGAUAAUGACGGUACCGGGAGAAGAAGCUGCGGCUAACUACGUGCCAGCAGCCGCGGUAAUACGUAGGCAGCAAGCGUUGUUCGGAGUUACUGGGCGUAAAGAGUGCGUAGGCGGUUUUCUAAGUUCGGUGUGAAAUCUCCCGGCUUAACUGGGAGGGUGCGCCGAAGACUGGGAAGCUGGAGUGUGGGAAAGGCAGGCGGAAUUCCUGGUGUAGCGGUGAAAUGCGUAGAUAUCAGGAGGAACACCGGCGGUGUAGACGGCUUGCUAGACCAUAACUGACGCUGAGGCACGAAAGCGUGGGUAGCAAACA